rnacentral:rRNA from 1 species
GAUGAACGCUGGCGUCAUGCCUAAUACAUGCAAGUCGAGCGAACAGACGAGGAGCUUGCUCCUCUGACGUUAGCGGCGGACGGGUGAGUAACACGUGGAUAACCUACCUAUAAGACUGGGAUAACUUCGGGAAACCGGAGCUAAUACCGGAUAAUAUAUUGAACCGCAUGGUUCAAUAGUGAAAGACGGUUUUGCUGUCACUUAUAGAUGGAUCCGCGCCGCAUUAGCUAGUUGGUAAGGUAACGGCUUACCAAGGCAACGAUGCGUAGCCGACCUGAGAGGGUGAUCGGCCACACUGGAACUGAGACACGGUCCAGACUCCUACGGGAGGCAGCAGUAGGGAAUCUUCCGCAAUGGGCGAAAGCCUGACGGAGCAACGCCGCGUGAGUGAUGAAGGUCUUCGGAUCGUAAAACUCUGUUAUUAGGGAAGAACAAAUGUGUAAGUAACUAUGCACGUCUUGACGGUACCUAAUCAGAAAGCCACGGCUAACUACGUG